rnacentral:rRNA from 1 species
AGAGUUUGAUCAUGGCUCAGAACGAACGCUGGCGGCAUNCCUAACACAUNCAAGUCGAACGUUUUUUAUAGAGUGGCGCACGGGUGAGUAACGCGUGGGAACCUGCCUUUUUCUGCGGGAUAACGGUUGGAAACGACCGCUAAUACCGCAUACGCCCUACGGGGGAAAGGUCCGCCGGAGAAAGAGGGGCCCGCGUCUGAUUAGCUUGUUGGUAGGGUAACGGCCUACCAAGGCGACGAUCAGUAGCUGGUCUGAGAGGAUGAUCAGCCACACUGGGACUGAGACACGGCCCAGACUCCUACGGGAGGCAGCAGUGGGGAAUAUUGGACAAUGGGGGCAACCCUGAUCCAGCAAUGCCGCGUGUGUGAUGAAGGCCUUAGGGUUGUAAAGCACUUUCACUGGUGAAGAU